UACGAAGGGGGCUAGCGUUGUUCGGAAUUACCGGGCGUAAAGCGCACGUAGGCGGACAUUUAAGUCAGGGGUGAAAUCCCGGGGCUCAACCCCGGAACUGCCUUUGAUACUGGGUGUCUAGAGUGUGGAAGAGGUGAGUGGAAUUCCGAGUGUAGAGGUGAAAUUCGUAGAUAUUCGGAGGAACACCAGUGGCGAAGGCGGCUCACUGGUCCACUACUGACGCUGAGGUGCGAAAGCGUGGGGAGCAAACAGG
rnacentral:rRNA from 1 species